AGUGUCAAGGGAUGGGAAUCGAACCCACGACCUUCCGCUUACCGGGCAGAUGCCAUGACCACUAAGCCACAUGACC
rnacentral:tRNA from 1 species